CCUACGGGUGGCAGCAGUGAGGAAUAUUGGUCAAUGGGCGCGAGCCUGAACCAGCCAAGUAGCGUGAAGGAUGACUGCCCUACGGGUUGUAAACUUCUUUUAUAAAGGAAUAAAGUGAGGCACGUGUGCCUUUUUGUAUGUACUUUAUGAAUACGGAUCGGCUAACUCCGUGCCAGCAGCCGCGGUAAUACGGAGGAUCCGAGCGUUAUCCGGAUUUAUUGGGUUUAAAGGGAGCGUAGAUGGGUUCGUAAGUCAGUUGUGAAAGUUUGCGGCUCAACCGUAAGACUGCAAUUGAUACUGGCAGUCUUGAGUGCAGUAGAGGUAGGUGGAAUUCGUGGUGUAGCGGUGAAAUGCUUAGAUAUUACGAAGAACUCCGAUGGCGAAGGCAGCUUACUAAACUGCCACUGACAUUGAUGCUCGAAAGUGUGGGUAGCAAACAGGAUUAGAUACCCGGGUAGUC
rnacentral:rRNA from 1 species